rnacentral:rRNA from 1 species
CCUACGGGUGGCAGCAGUCGAGAAUCAUUCACAAUGGGGGAAACCCUGAUGGUGCGACGCCGCGUGGGGGAAUGAAGGUCUUCGGAUUGUAAACCCCUGUCAUGUGGGAGCAAAUUAAAAAGAUAGUACCACAAGAGGAAGAGACGUCUAACUCUGUGCCAGCAGCCGCGGUAAUACAGAGGUCUCAAGCGUUGUUCGGAAUAACUGGGCGUAAAGCGUGCGUAGGCUGUUUCGUAAGUCGUGUGUGAAGGGCGCGGGCGCAACGCGCGGACGGAACAUGAUACUGCGAGACUAGAGUGAUGGAGGGGGAACCGGAAUUCUCGGUGUAGCAGUGAAAUGCGUAGAUAUCGAGAGGAACACUCGUGGCGAAGGCGGGUUCCUGGACAUUAACUGACGCUGAGGCACGAAGGCCAGGGGAGCGAAAGGGAUUAGAUACCCUUGUAGUC